rnacentral:rRNA from 1 species
AUGUACAUUCCUAUAGCAUAGUGUUAAUGCACUAGAUCCCAUUAAAACUCCACAGUUAAGUGCACUUGGGCUAGAGUAUUACGGGGAUGGGUGACCACCUGGGAAGUCCUACUAUUUUGCAUG